rnacentral:rRNA from 1 species
GACGAACGCUGGCGGCGUGCUUAACACAUGCAAGUCGAACGGAAAGGCCCUGCUUUUGUGGGGUGCUCGAGUGCCGAACGGGUGAGUAACACGUGAGUAACCUGCCCUUGACUUUGGGAUAACUUCAGGAAACUGGGGCUAAUACCGGAUAGGAGCUCCUGCUGCAUGGUGGGGGUUGGAAAGUUUCGGCGGUUGGGGAUGGACUGGCGGCUUAUCAGCUGGUUGGGGGGGUAGUGGCUUACCAAGCCUUUGACGGGUAGCCGGCCUGGGAGGGUGACCGGCCACAUUGGGACUGAGAUACGGCCCAGACUCCUACGGGAGGCAGCAGUGGGGAAUAUUGCACAAUGGGCGGAAGCCUGAUGCAGCAACGCCGCGUGCGGGAUGACGGCCUUCGGGUUGUAAACCGCUUUCGCCUGUGACGAAGCGUGAGUGACGGUAAUGGGUAAAGAAGCACCGGCUAACUACGUG